ensembl:lincRNA
CAGAGAAGCACCAAGGAACAUACAGAGGAACUGAGGAGGACAGACAUACUUCAGGACCUGCUUCAACUUGGCCACUUGCUAGGUGUCUUCCAGCGCCUCUUGUCAGCUUGCACCCUGAAUCUUAGAUGGGAUCCCAUACAUGUCCUGGUAGCUGAUUCAUAGCCCUGAGAUAAGGAGGCAUCUGCAUUGAGCCUACUGGGGCCUAGCAUCCAGUUAGGCCCCCAGCCAUCUGCCCUUCAGUCAGACACAGCAGGGCGCGGUGGGACAAUGGAAAGAAGCAAGGAAUGUCUCCCUAUAUCAGCCUGUGAAGUCCUGCCACUGUACAAGGCCAGCUACCUUGUCCUAGAUGACUCCAACCUCUGUCUGCUGCUGCAGUCUUCCUGCCGUGGAACUGUGCUUGAAGAGUUGGCAUCUGUGACUUGUUUUCCUGUGAACAAGGCCAUGAACUUGGGCUGGUGCCUCAAAUGGCACUCACUUUUGGGCAUCUGUGCCUCACUCAUGUCUUUACAACCUUCAUAGGCCAGGGGGCCCUGACCUUCUGUCCAGAGACAAUCCUGUUCCCUCGCCUCCUUUAAACUACCUUGGCUGCUGCUAGAUCCUGCAGUAGGCCUGGUUUCUCAAGAUCAUUCCUACUGGGGCUCCUCAUUCAGCCAAUCCUGAGGGCCUAGGCUGGCAGCCAACCUCCUUUCACAGGGCUCUGUGUCUGACCGUCUUCCCAGGGCCACCACUUGGGACAUCUCCCAUUCCCCUCCCCCUUUCCCAGCAAAAGUCACCUUCCCCACUCUUUGGCUUCUGCCUGCUCUUGGUGCCAACUCACAGGAAAAGACUGGCUUCUUGUACUCCACCCCAUGGCCUGCAAAUCACACUUUGUCACUUGUUCCCUCUGCCCAGCAUUCUGUGAGCCACUUUGGCUCCAGACUUCUCAGAGUCAGUUAUGACAUGUGGCAAGAGUGUGGAAUUGAUAAUGUUCAAGUUUAGGCCUCACUAUGUAUUUGCUGCUGAUUAUAGGCAAAUGAUUUAAACUCUCUGUGCCUCUGUUUCUGUAACAUGGGAUCAUUACACUAUUUAGGUUUUAUGUGGAUUUAAAAGAUAAUGUUAUCUGGUAGAUCCUUCUUAAGGUGGCUCACCAAUUAAAUAUUAACCCAGGUUCUGGGUUACUCGACUAUUCUUCUAGAGUAAGAUUCCAGGUUCUUCUCAUGUCAAAGAAUUGAUCAAAAUGAGCAAACAAGGCAAAACAGAAUAAAACUAAACCAAAAAAAACAAUGAAAACGAUACAUUAUCUUUAAAACAAGAUAAUAGGGAAUUACAAUGGCCACCACUUUCAGAAGGAGAUCCCCCAUAGAUGCUAUACUGUAUGUUGUUAUCCUCUAAAUAGAUGAUCAGACUACUGGCUUUAGGCCUGCAAAGUCAAUGAAACACUAAACACUACAUGAAUUAAGUUGUAUUGAAAGUUAGGUUUCUUUUCUUUUUUUCUUUGUUACUGUGGAUCAAACUCAUGACCUCACACUUGCCAGGCAGGCACUUAAGCCACUGAGCUAAAUCCCCAGCCCUGUAUUUUACUUUAAUAGCUAUCUUCUCAAGCUGUGUUUCUCUGGAUCAGUCAGUUGCUUUGUGAGGGGGUGGG